UGGGGAAUUUUGGACAAUGGGCGAAAGCCUGAUCCAGCAAUGCCGCGUGUGUGAAGAAGGCCUUCGGGUUGUAAAGCACUUUUGUCCGGAAAGAAAUCCUUGGCUCUAAUACAGUCGGGGGAUGACGGUACCGGAAGAAUAAGCACCGGCUAACUACGUGCCAGCAGCCGCGGUAAUACGUAGGGUGCAAGCGUUAAUCGGAAUUACUGGGCGUAAAGCGUGCGCAGGCGGUUUGCUAAGACCGAUGUGAAAUCCCCGGGCUCAACCUGGGAACUGCAUUGGUGACUGGCAGGCUAGAGUAUGGCAGAGGGGGGUAGAAUUCCACGUGUAGCAGUGAAAUGCGUAGAGAUGUGGAGGAAUACCGAUGGCGAAGGCAGCCCCCUGGGCCAAUACUGACGCUCAUGCACGAAAGCGUGGGGAGCAAACAGGAUUAGAUACCCUGGUAGUCCACGCCCUAAACGAUGUCCACUAGUUGUUGGGGGAUUCAUUUCCUUAGUAACGUAGCUAACGCGUGAAGUUGACCGCCUGGGGGGUACGGUCGCAAGAUUAAAACUCAAAUGAAUUGACGGGGUCAUAGCUGUUUCCU
rnacentral:rRNA from 1 species